AUAUUGAAAGGCCAGUUCCCAGAACUUUAUCUGAGAGGAGAACAAGGAAACUGGUGUCUGCUGCAUGUUUUUCAAGAUGUGCUGGCGUCACCACCACCUGCACACUCCCCCUCCCCAGGCUUUUCCCACGGUAGGCACACAGCAGAUGUGCCAUCCGUGGAGGCUGUUAGGGUUAUGACAUGCAUUUUAUCCCCAACAACCCAAUGACCUCUGUAGUGAUGUCUCUAUCUUACAGGUGAAGGAAAUCAGGAAAACAGAUGGAGGGCUGACUUGGGGGUGGGUAUGGAGCACUGCUGCCAGCAACUAAGAUGAUGGAAGUGGGUGACCAGUGUGACUCUGUGUGACAGGAAAUGAUGCCGAAUGGACACAGCCAGCUAGGGUGGUAGUUGGAAUAAAGUUAGAUAACACAGGCUUACUGUGUGCAGGUGGCAGGUACUCACUCAGCAAAGCCACCUGAGUCGUCAGCACUGUGCUACUAUUUUGAUUUUUUUAAUUUGAGAGAUGGGGCCUCACUGUGCCACCCCAGCUGGGGUGCAGUGGCUAUUCACAGGC
rnacentral:lncRNA from 10 species